AUCAAUGGAUUGUAACAAGCUCAAAAAGCAGAAGAAAAUACUGCUGGCUGUGUGGCAUGAGUUCAAAUACUGGAACAACUAAAGAUGUAACUAUGGGGCUGGAGGAGCAUAAAACUCCACUUAAGCCAGCACUAAUGCUGAGGAAAGGCUUAUCGCACUGCUCACUAAUAUAACACAUCAAAGAGGGAAUAAUGCAAAAGAGCUUAGAAGUUGCACAUUGGCUUGUGGGGUGAGUGAUAACAGCUCUGGCCUGUCAGAAAGUGCAGUUUGCAUAACCAGCUAAAUAAAAAGCAAACACAGUGGUUCUGUAAGGGACAGUCAUCACCUGAAAACAAACAAAAUUGACUCAGAGUAUGGUUUUGUGUUGUGCUUAAUUUAGUUUAAUUGUUGGAUGCUUCCACUUGAGGCUGUUUCACCAGUUCUCUUGAAGAGAAUCUAGGGGUUGGUUUGUUGAACAGAAUUUAAGUUGGUUGUGCAGUUUUGUGAUGGAUUCCUUCCAUUUGCUGAGCCACUGAAAGGACAAUUAAUUCUGUUUUCUCUUCUAGUUUGUCCUCCCCAACAGUAGUCUCAAACUUGGCUUCUGCCAGAUAUAAGGGAAGGGUGAAAACAGAUCACGUCAUCAGCAGUAGCCUGCAGUCAGGAAAGACUGAACCCAGCACAAAAUUGCACUUCAGUGUUUAGGGACAUCUGGGAAGGACCCAAAAAAAAGAACGCCUUUAGUUUUCCUCUGUUUGCUCAGGUUCUUAAUUUAUUAUUUUUUUUCACUCUUUAAAGUACAUCAAGUGUGUCAGCUAACAGGAGCUUCUCUCCACAAUCCCAUUUGCUGUCAAAGGAGCAUCUCAGUUGUUCUGUCGAGGAAUCCCCUUACGGUUGUCAGUGCUUUCUUCUCUGGGAAAUAUUUUGCCUGAGGUUAAAUACAAAUAAAGAUCUCACAGUGAAAUGAAACUUCUCAGAUAGUCUUUGAGUGGGUAAAUGACAACCAUCACUUUUAGUGCCUUCCAUUGUGCAUUUAUUGACAUGUUUAUAAGUCAUUGGAGCAAUAACUG